rnacentral:rRNA from 1 species
UUUUAAUUGAAGUCUGGUAUGAAUGAAAAUAUGGGAGAUAACUGUCUUAGCGUAUUCAUUCGAAUUUAUUUAGUAAGUGCAAAUACUUACAAACUUAAAAAAGACGAGAAGACCCUAGAAACUUGAGGUAGUUUUUGUUGGGGCGGCAGAAUUACAUUUAACUAAUUUUAAUAAACGUGACAUUUAAUUGAAAGAAUAAGUUACUCUAGGGAUAACAGCAU